GGUAGCAUAAUCAUUAGUUUUUUAAUUGAAAACUCGUAUGAAUGGUCUGACAAGGAGAAUGCUGUCUCUGACUUAAAAAUUGAAUUUAACUUCUAAGUGAAAAGGCUUAGAUGACUUAGAGAGACGAUAAGACCCUAUAAAGCUUUAUAUUUUGUUCACACCUANNUGGUUUAAAGAGUGAAAGGUUGAUUGUAAAUGAAAUAAUUUGUUGGGGCGACAGAGGUAUAAUUAAGAUAACUGCUUUCGUUAAAAAUACUUAUGGGUGAUCCUUAAUAAAGAUNUAANAUCAAGUUACUUUAGGGAUAACAGCGUAAUUCUUUUUGAGAGCUCAUAUCGAAAAAAGAGUUUGCGACCUCGAUGUUGAAUUAAAUAUCUAUAUAGUGCAGGUGCUAUAGGAAGAAGGUCUGUUCGACCUUUAAAUUUUUACAUGAUUUGAGUUCANACCGGUGUAAA
rnacentral:rRNA from 1 species